AAGUCGUAACAAGGUUUCCGUAGGUGAACCUGCGGAAGGAUCAUUAACAAAUUAACUGCGUGUACCUGCGAUUGCUGAUAUGUGGAUGUACAAGCUGGUUUGUCUCAGUUUUGUGCUUCGCACAAGGAUCUUCGCAAGGUACGCUCGUAAAAAGAUGUGUCUCUAGAGAUUAAUUUCUUUAGAGAUACAUACAAACAAGUAACCUGGGGUACUUUAAGGUGAAGUGCUUUACUGUGCUUUGUCUUAGAGCCCUUCUAAUAAUCCCUAUUUUACCAUUUUACCCCUUUAUAAACUAUAAGACUGAUAUGACAUGAUAAAUGUCAAAUAUAAAACUAUAAAACAACUCUUAACAAUGGAUAUCUAGGCUCUG
rnacentral:misc_RNA from 1 species